rnacentral:lncRNA from 1 species
UCUACAUUAAAGCUGCAUCUUUUAGGAAACAGGCAGAGUGUUUAACCAAUGAUAUACCUGACUUCGUUCCAAGCCAAACAACACAGCCUUUUGAUUUUUGCCCAUGCCGCAGGCUAUCUGAAAGUAUUAGAGUUAAUGUGCAAUCAGAUUGACAGCCUUUGGGAAAAAUCUAUGGCAGCCGUGGAACAAGAUCCUGGAGAGGAGGGAAGUGCAUUGAAAUGAAUCCUACAGGGAAACCACUGAUUUCCUCUUGAGCACAUGCUGAUUCAGACUAUAGGGCACAGAGCUGCAUGUGGCUGCUUGGAGCUUAAUAUAGUCUCUCUCUGCCGGGAAAACAGAAAUUGGAGUUCAGAGUUACCAGAUUGGCCUGGAAAGGAGGGGCCAAUAUCUCGAAGAAAGGGAGCCACAGCAAGGUCACCCUGAGACAAAAUGCAAUACUGAAAUUAAGAAUUUAAUAAUGUGUUUAAUAGCAAAUUAGACACAGCAAAGAAGAGGAUGAAUGAGCUAUAAUCUAACUUAGCAGAAAAUUGCCAGAUUAAAACACAGAGAACUGAAAAGGCUGGGAAGACACAGAGCACAAGACACGCAAGAAACGUGGUAAAAUGGUCUGAUGUAACUGUAAUCACAGAAAGAGUGUAAAGAGAGGACGACAGAGAAUUAUCUGAACAAACACUGGCUAAAAAUGUGCCAAAACUGACUGUACUCAAGCAUACAUUCAUGAAUUUGAAACAAGAUCACUAUAAUAACAACCACAUCUAAGAAUGUCAGUAAUACACUGACAACCAAAGACCAGAGAAUACAUAUUUUUUAAUUUUUUCCUUUUUCUCCCCAAAGCCCCCCCGGUACAUAGUUGUAUAUUCUUCGUUGUGGGUCCUUCUAGUUGCGGCAUGUGGGACGCUGCCUCAGCGUGGUUUGAUGAGAGGAGCCAUAUCCGCGCCCAGGAUUCGAACUGACGAAACACUGGGCCGCCUGGAGCGGAGUGCGCAAACUUAACCACUCAGCCACGGGGCCAGCCCCCAGAGAAUAUCUUUAAAGCAGACAAAAAGAGGAGUUAACAAAAAGACCAAUAACCUACUUUAUGACAAAACAAAAAUAGAGCCAGACACCAACAUAAUUACGUCUUAAAACGUUGAGGGAAAAUAACUUCAAGCCUAGAACUGUAUACCCAGUUAAAACAUUCUUUUAAAAAUGAAGGUGAAGUAAAGACAAAUCAGACAAACACAAACUGAGAGAAGAGGUCACCAGCUGACAUGCACAAAGAGAAAUAUUAAAGGUAGUUUUGCAGUCAAAAGAAAUAAGAUGGCAGAUAAAAGCUUUGUAAAACAGGAAAAAAAUUAAAAACAUAGGAAAGAGUAAAUAUGGUGAAUAAAUCAAAAUGAACUGGUUAAAACA